UACGUAGGGUGCAAGCGUUGUCCGGAUUUAUUGGGCGUAAAGAGCGUGUAGGCGGCUUUACAGGUCCGUUGUGAAAACUCGAGGCUCAACCUCGAGAUGUCGGCGGAAACCAUCUGGCUAGAGUCCGGAAGAGGAGAGUGGAAUUCCUGGUGUAGCGGUGGAAUGCGCAGAUAUCAGGAGGAACACCAAUAGCGAAGGCAGCUCGCUGGGACGGUACUGACGCUGAGGCGCGAAAGCGUGGGGAGCGAACAGG
rnacentral:rRNA from 1 species